rnacentral:siRNA from 1 species
UAUGAGUUCAGGGGCAACAAU